GCAGUCGAACGAUGAAGCCCAGCUUGCUGGGUGGAUUAGUGGCGAACGGGUGAGUAACACGUGAGUAACCUGCCCUUGACUCUGGGAUAAGCCUGGGAAACUGGGUCUAAUACUGGAUAUGACUUCUCACCGCAUGGUGGGGGGUGGAAAGAUUUAUUGGUCUUGGAUGGACUCGCGGCCUAUCAGCUUGUUGGUGAGGUAAUGGCUCACCAAGGCGACGACGGGUAGCCGGCCUGAGAGGGUGACCGGCCACACUGGGACUGAGACACGGCCCAGACUCCUACGGGAGGCAGCAGUGGGGAAUAUUGCACAAUGGGCGCAAGCCUGAUGCAGCGACGCCGCGUGAGGGAUGACGGCCUUCGGGUUGUAAACCUCUUUCAGUAGGGAAGAAGCGAAAGUGACGGUACCUGCAGAAGAAGCGCCGGCUAACUACGUGCCAGCAGCCGCGGUAAUACGUAGGGCGCGAGCGUUAUCCGGAAUUAUUGGGCGUAAAGAGCUCGUAGGCGGUUUGUCGCGUCUGCCGUGAAAGUCCGGGGCUUAACCCCGGAUCUGCGGUGGGUACGGGCAGACUAGAGUGCAGUAGGGGAGACUGGAAUUCCUGGUGUAGCGGUGAAAUGCGCAGAUAUCAGGAGGAACACCGAUGGCGAAGGCAGGUCUCUGGGCUGUAACUGACGCUGAGGAGCG
rnacentral:rRNA from 1 species